UAUAAUUCUGAAUGCUCUGGAACUCAUCUGACCUCAGAAGCUAAGAAAGGUUGAGCCUGAUUAGCACUUGCAUGGGAAUGUGUGAAAGAUUUAAACAGAAUUCCCUUGUGGUGGCAUCAGGUU
rnacentral:rRNA from 1 species